UGGGUUUCUAUGCCCCGAUCUCUAGCCAAUCUCUUAAAGGCAGACGUUAGGAAGUUCGCUGCUCAUCCCGACCAGCCUGCCUCCAGCCACAGCAGCCGGACAUGCAGGGAAUCAGGCUCUGCCUUUCUCCAAAGGGACAGCAGCUCUGACCUGCCUCUUGUCAUCGCACCCCAAACGAUGCGCGUUACGGACACAGAUACCGUCGACUGUUUUGGCAAUGGGAUGGCUGGCUUUGUUCUGAGGCAAAAACUGCAAUUGCAGUGCCAGACAGAAUAAGAGCAAUGCAUGUACCAAUGACACCAGGGAGGCAAAGGGCUACCAUGGAAAGAAAGCAGCUAUGUAUAUGCCUUCUGUGCAUACACAUAGGCCCGGGAGUGAUGGGAACUAGCUCGUGCACAAUGUCCAUAUAUAUGUCUAUAUAUAUGUGUGUGUGUGUGGAGAGAGAGAUAGAAACA